rnacentral:misc_RNA from 1 species
GAUGAAGAACGCAGCGAAAUGCGAUACUUGGUGUGAAUUGCAGAAUCCCGUGAACCAUCGAGUCUUUGAACGAAAGUUGCGCCCGAAGCCAUUAGGCCGAGGGCACGCCUGCCUGGGCGUCACACGUCGUUGCCCCCCCAUCUACUCCUUCGGGAUUGCGGGGGGCGGAUGAUGGCCUCCCGUGCGCCUUGCCGCGCGGUUGGCAUAAAUGCCAAGUCCUCGGCGACGCACGCCACGACAAUCGGUGGUUGCGAAACCUCGGUUGCCCGUCGUGUGCGGUCGUCGCGCAUCGAGGGCUCGAAAAAAUUGCCGGGUUCCGGCUCGGCUUUCAACGCGACCCCAGGUCAGGCGGGGUUACCCGCUGAAUUUAAGCAUAUCAAUAAGCGGAGGA